rnacentral:rRNA from 1 species
ACGGAAGGUGCAAGCGUUGCUCGGAAUCACUGGGCGUAAAGGGUGCGUAGGCGGCCGUGUAAGUCUGGCGUGAAAGCCCCGGGCUCAGCCCGGGAAGUGCGCUCGAAACUGCGCGGCUCGAGUGCCGGAGGGGAGAGUGGAAUUCUUGGUGUAGCGGUGAAAUGCGUAGAUAUCAAGAGGAACACCUGAGGUGAAGACGGGUUGCUGGGCCAACACUGACGCUGAGGCGCGAAAGCCCGGGGAGCAAACAGGA